UGGGCGUAAGCGAGCGCAGACGGUUUAUUAAGUCUGAUGUGAAAGCCCGGAGCUCAACUCCGGAAUGGCAUGGAAACUGGUUAACUUGAGUGCAGUAGAGGUAAGUGGAACUCCAUGUGUAGCGGUGGAAUGCGUAGAUAUAUGGAAGAACACCAGUGGCGAAGGCGGCUUACUGGACUGCAACUGACGUUGAGGCUCGAAAGUGUGGGUAGCAAACAGGAUUAGAUACCCCUGGUAGUCCACACCGUAAACGAUGAACACUAGGUGUUAGGAGGUUUCCGCCUCUUAGUGCCGAAGCUAACGCAUUAAGUGUUCCGCCUGGGGAGUACGACCGCAAGGUUGAAACUCAAAGGAAUUGACGGGGACCCGCACAAGCGGUGGAGCAUGUGGUUUAAUUCGAAGCAACGCGAAGAACCUUACCAGGUCUUGACAUCCUUUGAAGCUUUUAGAGAUAGAAGUGUUCUCUUCGGAGACAAAGUGACAGGUGGUGCAUGGUCGUCGUCAGCUCGUGUCGUGAGAUGUUGGGUUAAGUCCCGCAACGAGCGCAACCCUUAUUGUUAGUUGCCAGCAUUCAGAUGGGCACUCUAGCGAGACUGCCGGUGACAAACCGGAGGAAGGCGGGGACGACGUCAGAUCAUCAUGCCCCUUAUGACCUGGGCUACACACGUGCUACAAUGGCGUAUACAACGAGUUGCCAACCCGCGAGGGUGAGCUAAUCUCUUAAAGUACGUCUCAGUUCGGAUUGUAGUCUGCAACUCGACUACAUGAAGUCGGAAUCGCUAGUAAUCGCGGAUCAGCACGCCGCGGUGAAUACGUUCCCGGGUCUUGUACACACCGCCCGUCACACCAUGGGAGUUUGUAAUGCCCAAAGCCGGUGGCUAACCUUUUAGGAAGGAGCCGUCUAAGGCAGGACAGAUGACUGGGGUGAAGUCG
rnacentral:rRNA from 1 species